AGCUUUUAAGUUUUAAUCUUAGUAUUAGUUUAUUAGUAAAAUUGAAAAAGUUAAAAGAUAAGAGUUGUAUUUUGGUUUUUAGUUUUGAGAUUGAUUAUUGGUAGACUCUUAAUUUAGAAUUCUUAAAAAAAAAAAAUUAUUUAAAAAUUUGGUUUUAAUGGUCUUUAGAAGGUUAUACUUGUAGAAUAUGGAAGAAGGUGAAUUGUAUUUCUGAAACCAAAUUUCAUAUAAUUGUAUUUGUAAAGUACAAAUGCCCAGAAUGUGUGAUGGUUUUUGGUUUCGUUAUUUCAUAUUUAAAACCACAAAUACAAAUUCCUGAAAAAUACAAAUGCCCAGAAUGUGUGUUGAUUUUUUCCCCUUUC
rnacentral:lncRNA from 1 species